GAUUUCUGGUUUGGCAUGCCUGGCCCGCCACGGUUACGUGUGUGAGUGCCGGUGCGUGCCUGCCAUCCUUCUGGAAAACGCGUCUACCCUUCACUGGGCCGGGCGCGCGAUCCAGAUCAUUUACUUUGAAAAAAUUAGAGUGUUUAAAGCAGGCUUUUUGCUAUGAAUACAUUAGCAUGGAAUAAUAAUUUAGGACUUUGGCCCUAUUUUGUUGGUUUCUAGGACUGAAGUAAUGAUUGAUAGGGAUAGUUGGGGGUGCUCGAAUUCAGCGGCCAGAGGUGAAAUUCUUGGAUUCGCUGAAGACGAACUCAUGCGAAAGCAUU
rnacentral:rRNA from 1 species